rnacentral:rRNA from 1 species
CCUACGGGCGGCAGCAGUGAGGAAUAUUGGUCAAUGGUCGAGAGACUGAACCAGCCAAGUAGCGUGAAGGAUGACGGCCCUAUGGGUUGUAAACUUCUUUUAUAAGGGAAUAAAACGAGGCACGUGUGCCUUUUUGUAUGUACCUUAUGAAUAAGGAUCGGCUAACUCCGUGCCAGCAGCCGCGGUAAUACGGAGGGUCCGAGCGUUAUCCGGAUUUAUUGGGUUUAACGGGAGCGUAGAUGGGGUGUUAAGUCAGUUGUGAAAGCCUGGGGCUCAACCUUAGUAUUGCAGUUGAUACUGGCAUUCUUGAGUACGAGUGAGGUAUGCGGAAUUCGUGGUGUAGCGGUGAAAUGCUUAGAUAUCACGAAGAACCCCGAUUGCGAAGGCAGCAUAC